CACCUGCAUCCACACUGCGCGCCCCUCCGUUUUUUCUCCUCCUCCCGAACACGCGCACACACGAAAGCUAGCCUUCUUCAGUCUUCUACCGACCGACCAUUCUCCCUCUCGAUUCUCUCUCCAGCCAUUCCCCCCCUCCAUCAGGUGUUACCUCCUGCAGAUCCAAAUUGGAAUUUGGGCCUUGGCCUCCACAUCACCAAUCUGGUUGCCUUCUUUGGGUUUGCCCGCAGCACACGCAAGCCAUUUCACUGCUAGGAGGCUGCUUGGCAUCUCCGGCUCUUGAGUGAUCUCCAAGGUAAGCAGCAGCCCCCACUCCCUGGGAAGAAAUAGAAAUAAAGAAGUUUCGGCUCUUGGUUGGAGCAAGGAAUUGAGUUCUUUGCACUCCUCCAUGGCUUCUGAGUGGAAAAUAUUUGAGCUUGCUGGGAAAAAAUCCAUCCUUUUCCAUGGGAGUGGAGUGAUGGGGGAGUGCGAGGACGCCGGGGAGUACAGGUGCUGGGAGGAGCUGUUACCGGACGCGCUGGGCCUCAUCUUCCGCAACCUGCCGCUCCAAGAGGUGCUCACCGUCCUGCCGCGGGUGUGCAAGUCAUGGGGGCGGGUGGUCGCCGGCCCCUACUGCUGGCAGGAGAUCGACAUCGAGGAGUGGAGCCAGCAGCAGAGCAAGCCGGAGCAGAUCCGCCGCAUGGUUGAGCUGCUCGUCGGCCGCAGCGGCGGCUCAUGCCGCCGCAUCAGCGUCUCUGGGCUGCCCUGCGACCCACUCUUCUCGCUCAUCGGAGACCAUGCCCGAGCUCUUCAGACCUUAGAGAUUCCAAGGAGCGAGAUCAGCGACUCCAUAGUGGAGACCGUCGCGCCGCGGCUAUCCAACGUCACUUUCCUAGACGUCAGCAGCUGCACAAAGAUCGGAGCUCGCGCCCUGGAGGCGUUCGGCAAGCACUGUAAAUCCCUGGUCGGGCUCCGGCGGGUCAUGCACCCCAUCGACCUCGCCGACAAGGUGUGCCAGCACGACGAGGCGCACGCCAUCGCCUGCAGCAUGCCCAAGCUCCGGCACCUGGAGAUGGGGUACAUGCUGAUCACGACGGAGGCGGUGCUGGAGAUCCUCGCCCAGUGCCGCGACCUCAAGUUCCUGGACCUGCGCGGCUGCUGGACCGUGGACGACAAGUUCUUGCGGGACAGGCACCCGGGGCUGCGCGUCCUUGGGCCUCGCGUGGACGACUGCUACGAGAACAGCUACUGGGAGGAGUGCUCCGAUUACUCGGACUCGUCCAUCUACUCGUGGGAGUUCAUGGAAGACGUCGACGACUACUACGCCAUCGGCAGCGACGACGAGGCCAUCUGGGACGACGGCCAGGGUUUGGAAAACCUGGAGGUCAGGUUCUACGGCGGUGGGUUCAGUGAGGGCUAUGCUGGUUUCGAUUGGCCACCGUCACCAUGAGAGAGCUGUGUUCACCCUGACAAAAUCCCAGCCUGCUCUUGCUGCUAUUGUGUGUGUUCGUGUGACUUGUGUGUGUUGUUCCUAAGCUUGCAGAUAUGUUGCUGUACUGUGUCAUCACUCAAUCUCCCUCUACCUUGCAGAUAUGUGAAGUGAACUGCUAAUUGUACGAUCUAGAUGUAAACUUUGGUGUUUACAUGAAGCAAAUCAACAUGCAUCGCUCUAUCAACGUGAGCUGGUACGAUGCAAAGAUGGUGUGGCUUCUGUCUGCAGUCUCAUCUAUUGGACAAGAUGCUCAUGCAGCAGACGUGGCCUGCUCUGCAAGGGACGCAGCAGUGGAGAAAAGCACCUGCUUUGAUGCAUGCAACAUGGCAGGGGAGCGGGGAGCCCUCGGGCACACGCAAACAGCUAAAAGCUACACCGCUUUUAGGCCGGACCACUGUGGCCGCUGGCGCCUGCAGGCUGCCUGAUCCUAAGAUUUUGCCCCAAAAUCAUGUAAUAAAGCAGGAUCUUUUUCUCAGAAUCGGUGGGAAUCAAUCGAUGGCGUCCGUGGCUGGCAAGUCGAUUGUCUCUUGCAAGACAAGUUAGCCCCGGCCUCUCCCUGCCUCUGCCGCCUGCAUGCGUCUCUGCAAGCUUUGGCUCUGGACGCGAGAUUCUGCCGGCUUUUCCCAAUUCCCAGACGAGCAGGAGGCAGGAGCAGCCUAUUGUAUCUACCUUGAGGUAUGGUCAGGUCUGAAUGGAUCCCUCUGGCAAAAUAUUUGAUGCUUCCUGGGUGGAUUCUGUACUAGUAGUACUAAUCUUGAGAGAGAUCAUUGGAUCAGGAUUGCCUAUUUGACAUCAAGCUGCUGCUGCUAUAUCAAGUAUGAUGCUUUAGCGAGUCAGGAACCAGUGGAUCAAGAAUGCUUCUUUUGGCCUCAAAGAUUCAGAAGACAAAAGAUGAAAAGAAGAGAAAAAUUUCCAAACUUUUUGUGAAGAUUGACCUUGUUCGCCGCUCUUCUGUACCCCUAUUUUCUGUUUCUUCCGAGAAUCAUUUUGCCAUUUUAGGUUCAGCUCCAUUAGGUACGAGGGUGUUUAGAAUUCCUUUUCCCCCUCUAUGUACAAGUAGUACUUGGCGAAUACUGUUACAUUUUUGCUGUGGACUGUGGUUGAGAUC